rnacentral:rRNA from 1 species
UACGAAGGGGGCUAGCGUUGCUCGGAAUUACUGGGCGUAAAGCGCACGUAGGCGGAUUGUUAAGUCGGGGGUGAAAUCCUGGAGCUCAACUCCAGAACUGCCUUCGAUACUGGCGAUCUCGAGUUCGGGAGAGGUGAGUGGAACUGCGAGUGUAGAGGUGAAAUUCGUAGAUAUUCGCAAGAACACCAGUGGCGAAGGCGGCUCACUGGCCCGGUACUGACGCUGAGGCGCGAAAGCGUGGGGAGCAAACAGG